CAGGACUGAAGAAGACAGCACCAUGCUUUGGGGAUAGUCACUGGUCCUGUGAGUGUCACAAGGAUCAGAAACAGAAGCGUCACAGCUGAAGACCAGGGUCAGCCUUUGUGGCUAUCAGCCUGGGGACCCUGCCACCACUGCACAAGUGGCUGCCCACAUGGUUUUCUCUAUGCUUCAAACUAUGACAGCACAGCGGAAAACACUGAUUUGCUUCUUCAGAAGUACUAUUGGGGGCUGGGGAUUUAGCUCAGUGGUUUCGCCGCCUGCCUCGCAAGCGCAAGGUCCUGAGUUCGAUCCCCAGCACCAAAAACCAAAAAAAAAAGAAGUACUAUCGGGGCCCUAAGCGAGCCCCUUUAGCUCUAUCACUGUGAUUUUCGAGAUUAUCUUAUCAAAGUUUAUCAAGACUUGGUUAAAUGUUAUGAUUUCUUCUUUCUUUGUAGAUACAGUUUUUGAUAAAAGUAUGCCUCAAAAUAUCAAAGCCUCGAUCUGCAUCAACACAGUGAGAGGCGGCUGGUGGCUCUGCUUCACUUCACAACAUGUCCAGUUUUGAGUUUUUAUUGCCUUGGAAAUCUCAGGUACUAACAUGUGCAUUCUCGGUCAUCUAGCUGACCUUGUGACCAGCAUUCCCAUGCACCAACAGCUCCACCUUUGCUUUUGCUACCACCGAGGUGGCAUGACUCUUCAGUCAUGGUCCCUUCUUAAUCAUCUUCAAGCUAAAGAGGAAAGAACCAGACUCAGCCGUGAGCUAUCCAAGUGGAGACAGAGUGAUGUGAAGGCAUGCUGUGAUUCUAAGGCAGUUUCAACAGAGAAAGAGCUCAGUCACGGCAGGUUACUCCGAAGUGGCACAGCCCACAGUCAUUCUGCCCUUAGCUCAGUAUUUUCAGUGAAAGACCAUCUUUCCUCAAAUUGUUUUAAGGAGAAAAGCAGCACUGAGAUGCUGAGAUACGCCUCAGGCCCCUGCAAACUCCACCUGCCGCCUCCCUGCACGUUCCUCCCUGCCUGCGCCUGUUGGCCGGAUCACAGCCGUCAGCCUAUCAAUAAGCUGCCGUACAUCUGGUGAAAGAAAGGCACUCAACUUCACCCCACUCCCCCAUGUCUCUGCCCUUCCCCCAGUCAGACCCACAGGCGUGUGUGUACAGUCCCUGGCUCUACUUCCUCAGCACCACUCCGGUCCCUGCUGACUGGGCUUGCUGCACCCCUCGGUGCCCAAGGCUCCCACCCUCUGGCCUUCGCCAACCACCUGGUCCUCGUCACCAUCUGACUCAAGCUCUGAGCUGACGACUCUACCUUCCGAGCAUCUUCCCUGGGCCCCUGUGACCUCACAUUCCUCUCCUCAGACCCCUUGGUAAGUGUCACCUCCUUACUCAGGCCUUGCCGUUUGCCAGUCCCAGGCCUGGUCUGACCACCACCAUCACUGCCAAUCCCCAACUGCCCUCUCUGCCUGUCUCUCCUUUCGGGAGGUUCCCUCCUCCAGACCUGAGGUCUUCGACACAGGCCACCACUCCUAACUGUCGAAGGCCUCUCAGCCCUGGCCUCUCUUCUGAGCUCCAAGCCCAUGGGUUCAACACACCUAGCUGGUUGGAGAGCUCAGCUGAACAUCAAAGAGACGUCAUGUAAUUAACCUGAUAGAAACCAAUGUUAGUCCCACAAAACUUGCCUAUCACUCAAUUUUCCCUGUCAUGGUGAAAAAGUUACUAGUAGUCUGGUAAUUGUUAGGGCCCAACCCCAGGGAAGGACUACCUUUGAUUCUUUUCCUUCCUUCCUCCUCCUCCUUCUCUUUACAGUAACAGGGAAGCCCUAAGAGCAGACCCUAGCUCUGACACAUGUGCCAACUAUGACCACAUUUGCCCUCUGCUGGCCCUCCCUCAAACAGUGUCCUCUAAAGCAGAUCUCUACAUAACCCUGACUUUUAUUCAAACCCCACCCCCACCCUUUUCCUAGAGUCCAGUCCAUAGAGGCCUGUUCAGUUAUGAACAAAGUCACACCCACUCAUGCCCCAAAUCCUCAGUACCUCCUCCACACACCUAGAUUACAAUCAAAACUGCUCACCUCAACAUCAAAGGCUUCAUGGACCUGGGCCCAAUCCCUUUUCAAUGACUCUAACGAUGACGGUCCACCCACUCACUGCUCUACCCUCAUGCUGGAGCCAGCAUCUGUGCCAGUCUACCCCACCUUGAAACACAGCGGGCCUAGUUCACACUCCCAUGUCACCCUCUUCUGAAAGUGUGCCCAUCUAUUCCAUCAACCCAUUCUUACUUUCUUCAGAAGUUACCCUGCUCAUUUUCUGUUUCCCCCAACAAACACACCACUGCAUAAGAGCAGCCUUCUCUGGCUCAUCCACUGUGGAACCAAGUACAGAACAGGUUCCAGGUGGCUGAUCUCAUUUGACAGACGAGGGAACCAAGGCUGCAAAAAAUCAAACAACUUGCCCAGUGUCACAUAGGAGUCAAACACCAAGGCCAGGGUGGGAUCCUAGGUCGGGCCAAUUACAAAUCACAUGAUCUUAGCUUGCUGGACCAUACUGUCCCCUGUCCAGCUCUGGGGCUUGAAAAAGAUCCCCCCCUUGCCCUGGGGCAGCUACCAUGGAUUUGAUCCAGAUGAGAUCAAAGCGAGCAUUGCCAUGGGCUCUUUUGAAUUUUACAUGUUGGCAUCUGUAGUGGCUUUGAAACCUUGAGCAUAAACCAGAAGACUCAUGGUAACUGUGCUCCUUGAACCCUGAGGUGAAGCAGAAGGAAAUCCCAAGAUCUCCAGAUGCCAGCCAAGCAAGAACAUUUCGCUCUAGCUGCGAACAGGGGCUUGGAAGAGUCAGCAGUCAGUUUCACCUCUGCCAGGGAAGAUACUUCAGAACAAGGGUCCCCAAGGUCAGGAAGGGUAAUCUCACAAAGUUUUUGCUUCAUCUAACCACUGAAUUAUGUAUUUUUAAAAAUUCAGUGUGUCUUCACUUCACUUCCAAUUAGAAUUCCCUGCUCCCUUGGGUACUCUUUUUUUUUUUUUUUUAACCUCUGCUGACAAAUUCCCAGCCAUUCCUUAAAAAGAGUCAGUGUUCUUCCUCGUAACUUUUAGAUAAAUGAUAGUAUCUUUAAAAGCCCCUAUAUCUGCUCAUAGCACCAGAUAGGAUGCUCAUUUAGAUAUGGGCCUCCCUACUCAGGAGUUAAAAUCUACUGCUAUAGAGACUAAAAACUACUUUGUAACAACUAUACGAAUUGAAGGAUAUGAAAGUGUGAGGUAAAAAGAAAUAAAUAUUUUGUGAGGGACCCUGGUUCCUAAACUCCUGAAGUCCUUGCAAUCUCUUUUUUUAAACAGUGAGUGAAAUGUAUGUGCUAAUGAGAUGACUAAUGGCUGGGCGCUCCUAAAUAAUCUCAGACUGGGAGCUGGUUGCCAAAGCAACCAUGUGAUGGGAAGAUUGAAAUUUGUAGUCCCCACCCCUCUCUCCCACCUCCUACUCUCCAGGGAAGGAACUUAAGGUUCAGAUUGUCAUCAAAAGCCAGUGUUUCAUCAGUCGUGCCAUGUAAUGAAACCUCCAUAAAACCCAAAGGCCUGGAUCUGGGGAUUCCUGAUUGCUAGCCACAUGGGGUGCCUGGCAGAUAAUGCAGAAGGCAUGGAAGCACUACAUACACACACAAGUCACAGCCUAGGGCUUACAAGUUGGCGUUUGAAGUAGAAAGCAGUCUUUUGGACUAAGCCCUUAACCUGUAGGCUCUGAGGCUGUCUCUAGGUAGAUACUGUUAGACCUAAAUUAAAUUAGAGAAUGCCAGCUGGUGUGGUAGUAAACACCUGUAAUCCCAGCACUUGGAAGCCUGGGCCAAGCAGAUCACUGCAUGUUGGAGGCCAGCCUGAAUUACACAGUGAG
rnacentral:lncRNA from 1 species